CGACACUGAAACCUCCGCGCAUGCGCCGAGCAAACAAGGCGAAGCCCCGUGUCGGUGCGCGUAUCUCUUUAAGGAAAACCACGUGACCGAUACAAUUCCUGUGUCGUUUGGUUGUGAAGGCGCCAAAUUGUAUUUAUGAACAGAAAAUGUAUCGACAUGUUGGUGGGUUUUGUUGGAUGGAGAUAGUUUGUGUUGUUUGGCUUGUCAAUGAAACUAUGAUCAAUCGAGGAAGAGGAAGUUUUCUCCCGUUUGAUCAUUUUGAUCUUAUCACGGAGAAUAAGGUCAAUUAUUAUUCCCUUCUCGUUUCCACUAUUGAUCAUUCUUCUGUCGGGUUAUUCCAAUUUCUUUCUGAAGAAUACUUUAAUUAGUUUACAUGGAUUAACUUUUAUUUCUAUUGUAGAUGAAAUGUAUACAACAACGUGAUUAUACAACAUCACGUUGUUGUAUAAAAUUGCACUAAAUGUUGUCCUAAAAAAAAUCAUUUUUAAUACCAAAAAGGUUCAUGUUGUCCAUUCUUGAACCUCUUACUAUAACGCUUUACGCAACUAUAUUUACUUUUUUUAAACCGGUUUGAGGUCAAGAAGGAAAAUCCAUACAGCCAAUAUGGACCAGCAAAAGCAAGAGAAAAUUCCCUAAAGCUUUUGGGCAAAAUGAAAAUGCUUUAAAGUGAAAUGGCAUUAUAUUCAAGUUUCAUAAAGAGGACCUGAAACUAUUAAUGUGUCGCUUCUCCGAUGAAGGAAUAUUGUCUGAUUUGAUGAAUUUAUGAUCUAAUUGCACUUUCAAUUUUUCAAGAUAGAAAUACGUCAGAAGGAAGAAACUGCAGCAUUCAUCUCGGCUGAUUUGUAAACAGUUAAAAAAAUAAUAAAAAAUACAACUCAGUUUUUUUUGUUGUGUUUUUUUUUUCUUGGCGAUUGGCCCAAAGAUGUUAACGCAGCUGAUGUUUCUAAAUAAAAAUGUGUGAAUGAACCUUGUUCAGUCUGUUUCCAGUCUUUAUUGAUGUUUCCUGAAUUACUUUUUAAAUCCAGCAGAUGUCGCCAUUGAGCGAUACAGCAACACAGUUUCAACACAGUUUGGGAAAUGUACCACACACCCAAUGAGGCCUCAUCUGCCCUUCACUAGUAUUCACCACGACGAGAGAAUGGUUUCUGAGCAUCAAUGCUGAACCGGACCUCCUCGUCUCUCCUGGUUCUGAUUCUGAGUUCUGCUGCUCUGGGAAAAUCUCUGCCCACCGUGAAUGAAACUCUGGACGUCUACGAGGCCGAGGAGAACUCCAACGUCACGCUGAAAUGGAUCCGUCCG